CGUGGUAUUUUGAUCUGAGUUAUGACCAUCAUUGUACUUCCUGGCAUAGACUCGUAGAGUGAAGUUGGCCGGCAUAGAAGGACUACAUUAAUUACUCCACCAUAGCUGCAAGGCUGGUAAGGCAAGCACUGAAGCCAGAAUUCAGAGCGGAAGCAA